UGUCCAGACUCCUACGGGAGGCAGCAGUGAGGAAUAUUGGUCAAUGGGCGCGAGCCUGAACCAGCCAAGUCGCGUGAGGGAGGACGGCCCUACGGGUUGUAAACCUCUUUUGCCGGGGAGCAACGGGCGUCACGUGUGGCGCCACUGAGAGUACCCGGAGAAAAAGCAUCGGCUAACUCCGUGCCAGCAGCCGCGGUAAUACGGAGGAUGCGAGCGUUAUCCGGAUUUAUUGGGUUUAAAGGGUGCGUAGGCGGAAGAUCAAGUCAGCGUUAAAAUUGAGAGGCUCACCCUCUUCGAGCCGUUGAAACUGGUUUUCUUGAGUGAGCGAGAAGUAUGCGGAAUGCGUGGUGUAGCGGUGAAAUGCAUAGAUAUCACGCAGAACUCCGAUUGCGAAGGCAGCAUACCGGCGCUCAACUGACGCUCAUGCACGAAAGUGUGGGUAUCGAACAGGAUUAGAUACCCCAGUA
rnacentral:rRNA from 1 species